ensembl:lncRNA
UGAUAUACUGUAACAUGAUAGUUAAAAAGAUGUUGGUAAUAAUUUUUGAUAAUAAAUCAUCAACUCAAUCAAAUUACCUCAUAAUCAAUUAAAAUAAUGUUUAUGAUUUUGAUGUUUUAUGUUGGUUUAUUGUAUAUCUAUCUCACGAUAAGGUUAGUAUACUGCUUAAUGUAAUAUCAUUAGAGCUGACACAUCAAAAUCCAAGUAUGAUAAAUGUUGAAAUCCACAAUAAACUACAAGAAAAUGUAACGAUACAUUUUACAUUAAUAUUACACACAGAAAUAUUAAGGGAACUUUGUGAUUACAAGAGCUGUAAUGGUGUCUGUCACCUCUGUAUUACUCGGAGAAGGCAGUUUGACUCCUCUCUCAACAUUUAAUCAAAUUUCCACUCUCAUAAGUGUCUUUUUUGGGUGUCAGCAUAAAAAUCUGUGUUUGUCGUUCUGUAGGUGGAAAGCGCAGCUAGCGUCAGCACUAGAGAGGUUCACGGAGGGUCUCCGUCACUGCUGCUUGCUCGGUGUGCCCCGGUGGACAGAUGUGGAUGGGGAGAGGGUAACGGAUGAGGUAUGGUCUUGGCUUGUCACCAGGGCAAUGUGUGGGAGAUAACAAGUGUACAAUAAGAGCCUGCGAGUGAGACCACAUUAAGAAGGCAACACAAACAAGAAGAAAUCUCAAGGAUAAAGAGG